AAAAAGGCUCUUUUCAGAGCCACCCACUUUCAACUUAAAGGCAUCU
rnacentral:ncRNA from 1 species